UACGAACUGUGCAAACGUUAUUCGGAUUCACUGGGCUUAAAGGGUGCGUAGGCGGCCAUGUAAGUAGGGUGUGAAAUCCCCCGGCUUAACCGGGGAACUGCGCCCUAAACUGUAUGGCUGGAGUGAGAUAGGGGUGUGUGGAACUUCCGGUGGAGCGGUGAAAUGUGUCGAUAUCGGAAGGAACGCCGGUGGCGAAAGCGGCCUUCUGGACAGUGACUGACGCUGAGACGCGAAAGCGUGGGGAGCAAACAGG
rnacentral:rRNA from 1 species